rnacentral:misc_RNA from 1 species
AAGACUAUAGACCUGCGGAGUACCUGCGGAGGGAUCAUUAUCGUAUCUAUGAUGGGGUGCGGAGCGCCCUGCUCCGGUCGAACGGCCGUGCAGCGGGUGCGCCGCCCCCGUCCCACCUCACAAACCCACUGUGAACAUUCACCGGUGGAGGGGGCUCGGUCUGCGCCGUGUCCCCGAUGCCGAAUACCCAAACUCCAGUUGCAAAGAACGUCGUGCGGACUCGGUGCCGCCUAAAACAUG